rnacentral:rRNA from 1 species
UACAGAGGUCUCAAGCGUUGUUCGGAUUCAUUGGGCGUAAAGGGUGCGUAGGCGGCGCGGUAAGUCGGGUGUGAAAUCUCGGAGCUUAACUCCGAAACUGCAUUCGAUACUGCGGUGCUUUGAGGACUGGAGAGGAGACUGGAAUUUACGGUGUAGCGGUGAAAUGCGUAGAUAUCGUAAGGAAGACCAGUGGCGAAGGCGGGUCUCUGGACAGUUCCUGACGCUGAGGCACGAAGGCCAGGGGGAGCAAACGGGG